rnacentral:lncRNA from 1 species
ACAGACAAGGACACUAAGUCGGAAACAAGGUCUCGACCUCAACUAGCUAGAUUUUCUUCAAUGGAAUCCUUCAAACAAGUAGAAAACCGUUCUUCCAAACAGAAGAAAAAACUUGAAUUUAACAGCAGCCGAGUGUCACCUAUUCCAAAUGGUACCUCUCAGUGGGGAGCUCUCAACAUUUCCAAGUGUCACCUAUUCCAAAUGGUAACUCUCAGUGGGGGGCUCUCACCAUUUCCAAAUCUUUUAAUCCAGUAUUUGGCUCGUCCAAGAAAUUCUUUUCAGCUUCAGUUCCUGGAUCAAGAAUUGUUUCUCGAGCAACAUCACCAAUAUCU